rnacentral:rRNA from 1 species
UACGGGGGGGGCAAGCGUUGUUCGGAAUUACUGGGCGUAAAGGGCUCGUAGGUGGCCAACUAAGUCAGACGUGAAAUCCCUCGGCUUAACCGGGGAACUGCGUCGGAUACUGGAUGGCUUGAAUUCGGGAGAGGGAUGCAGAAUUCCCGGUGUAGCGGUGAAAUGCGCAGAUAUCGGGAAGAACACCCGUGGCGAAGGCGGCUCUCUGGGACGGUACUGACGCUGAGACGCGAAAGCGUGGGGAGCGAACAGG